UGCGGUCCCCAUCCAUGUACAUUGCACUAGCCGAAUGCAGAAAACAACUUAAUUACACAUGCUAGCAAUACUAAUGUGCCUAGACAGAUAGUCAUCAAUUACGAGGUGGUGUGUCUAUAAAAAUCCUAUCUUUUUAAAUUGGCAAUCAAAACGGAGAGCGCUACUAUUGCCUUGAUAAGAUUGCGCUUUGUACAGAACGAUUUCAUGGUUUACAGAUUAACCAUAACCUGCCGAUAAGAACAAACAUCAUGCUGCUGUCUUGUUGAGUCGACAAUGUGGCGUCUCAUCCGCUGCAGCAGGACCAGGUGAUCGACGGCGGAAUUGUCGGUUCACGCCCACGGGAAAUAAUUCCAGCAACCCCACCAUUCAUACGCCGCCGAAUCAAACGCUGGUCUUCAGCUUCGAGAAUCAGGACCCUGCGCUUUGCCACAAGCCUAGUCGUAUCCGGUUUCCCCCCGCCACACGGAGUCCUAUCCAAGCAUUACCGAGGCGUAUUCGAGACAUACCGAGGACUAUCCCAGCUAGACAGAAUCGUAUCACCUAACGAGCCAUCGUCAUCCUUCGACCUGGCCAGCGACAACAAGGACUUAGAUUAUGGCUACUACUCGUAGAUUCUAGAUAGAUAUCGUUGUUAGGUUUAAGGAUAUACGCGUCCAUAUAUUUAGACAGUAGAUACAAUUGUUUUCCACUUGUUUAUUUAUUAAUACUAGGCUAAGUUAUGAUAAAUAAAAC